rnacentral:rRNA from 1 species
AUUCGCGGCCUAUCAGCUUGUUGGUGGGGUAAUGGCCUACCAAGGCGACGACGGGUAGCCGGCCUGAGAGGGUGACCGGCCACACUGGGACUGAGACACGGCCCAGACUCCUACGGGAGGCAGCAGUGGGGAAUAUUGCACAAUGGGCGAAAGCCUGAUGCAGCGACGCCGCGUGAGGGAUGACGGCCUUCGGGUUGUAAACCUCUUUCAGCAGGGACGAAGCGCAAGUGACGGUACCUGCAGAAGAAGCACCGGCUAACUACGUGCCAGCAGCCGCGGUAAUACGUAGGGUGCGAGCGUUGUCCGGAAUUAUUGGGCGUAAAGAGCUCGUAGGCGGUUUGUCGCGUCGGCCGUGAAAACUUGGGGCUUAACUCCAAGCUUGCGGUCGAUACGGGCAGACUUGAGUUCGGCAGGGGAGACUGGAAUUCCUGGUGUAGCGGUGAAAUGCGCAGAUAUCAGGAGGAACACCGGUGGCGAAGGCGGGUCUCUGGGCCGAUACUGACGCUGAGGAGCGAAAGCGUGGGGAGCGAACAGGAUUAGAUACCCUGGUAGUCCACGCCGUAAACGGUGGGUGCUAGGUGUGGGGGGCUUCCACGCCCUCUGUGCCGCAGCUAACGCAUUAAGCACCCCGCCUGGGGAGUACGGAAU